GAACGCGAAGAACCUUACCAGGUCUUGACAUCCCUCUGACCACUCUAGAGAUAGAGUUUUCCUUCGGGACAGAGGUGACAGGUGGUGCAUGGUUGUCGUCAGCUCGUGUCGUGAGAUGUUGGGUUAAGUCCCGCAACGAGCGCAACCCCUAUUGUUAGUUGCCAUCAUUUAGUUGGGCACUCUAGCGAGACUGCCGGUAAUAAACCGGAGGAAGGUGGGGAUGACGUCAAAUCAUCAUGCCCCUUAUGACCUGGGCUACACACGUGCUACAAUGGCUGGUACAACGAGUCGCAAGCCGGUGACGGCAAGCUAAUCUCUUAAAGCCAGUCUCAGUUCGGAUUGUAGGCUGCAACUCGCCUACAUGAAGUCGGAAUCGCUAGUAAUCGCGGAUCAGCACGCCGCGGUGAAUACGUUCCCGGGUCUUGUACACACC
rnacentral:rRNA from 1 species